rnacentral:misc_RNA from 1 species
GAUGAAGAACGUAGCGAAAUGCGAUACGUAAUGUGAAUUGCAGAAUUCAGUGAAUCAUCGAGUCUUUGAACGCACAUUGCGCCCCCCUGGUAUUCCGGGGGGCAUGCCUGUCCGAGCGUCAUUGCUGCCCUCAAGCACGGCUUGUGUGUUGGGCCUCCGUCCUCCUCCCGGGGGACGGGCCCGAAAGGCAGCGGCGGCACCGCGUCCGGUCCUCGAGCGUAUGGGGCUUCGUCACCCGCUCUUGUAGGCCCGGCCGGCGCUUGCCGACACAUCAAUCUUUUUUCCAGGUUGACCUCGGAUCAGGUAGGGAUACCCGCUGAACUUAAGCAUAUCAAUAAGCGGAGGA